AUUCUGGAGUUGCAAAUCACAAUAACUGAAAUGAAAAUUUCACUAGAAGGGCUCAAUAACCAUUUUGAACUGAGAGAAGAAAGAGUCAAUGGACUUCAAGAUAUAUUAAUUGAAAUUAUCCAGCCUAAAGAAUAGAGGGAAAAAGAAUAAAGAAAAACAAACAGAGCCUUAAAGACCUGUGGGACAACAUCAGUUGUACCAUGAUGAAUAUAAUGGAAAUCCCAGAAGGAAAGGAGACAGAGAAAGGAGCAGAAGGAAUAUUAAGAAAUAAUUGUUAAUACAUUUCCAAAUUUGCUGAAAACCAUUAAUCUGCACAUUCAAGAAGCUCAAUAAAUCUGAAGUAGGAUAAACUCAAGGAGAUCAAGACCUAGAUAAAUCAUUGUCAAACUGUUGAAAGACAAAGAGAAUCUUGACAUCACAAGAGAAAAGUGACUCAAUGUGCACAAGGGAUCGUUAGUAACAACAACAUUCUGACUUCUAAUCAGAAUCCAUGAAACCAGAAGGCAGUGGGAUAACAUACUCAAAGUGUGGAAAGGAAAAGAUUGUCAACCAGGAGUUCCGUAUCCAGCAAAACUAUCCUUCAAAAAUGAACAAGAAAUUUAGACAUUGCAAAAUAAAUAAAAUACAAAAAACACUGAAGGUAGGCCUUCAAGCUGAAAUGAAAGAGGCUAGACGGUAAUUCAAAUCCACAUGAAGCAAUAAAAUCACCAGUGAAGGAAAACAUAUAGACAAAUAUAAAAGACAACAGGUACACAUUUUUUUGGUAACUCGUUUCUUCUAUUACAUGUAAAAGACAAUUGUAUAAACAACAAUCAUAUAACUGUGUUGAUGGACUUAUAAUCUGUAAAGAUGUAAUUUGUAUGACAAUAAUAGCACAAUGGAGGGGGAGGCAACAGAGCUUUAUCGGAGCAAAAUUUUUGUAUACUAUUAAAAUCAAGUCACUCAAUCCAAAUAGAUGGUUUUAAAUUUACAUGCUACAGUCAUGUGUCACUUAACAAUGGGGCUAUGUUCUGAGAAAGGUGUUGUUAGGUGAUUUUGUCGUUGUGUGAACAUCAUAGUGUGUACUUACACAAACCUUUAUGGUGUAGCCUAUUACACACCUAGGCUAUACAGUACUAAUCUUACAAGACCACCAUUGUAUAUGUGGUCUGUCACUGAAAUGUCACUAUGCAGCACAAGACUGUAGUAAUAAUCCCCAAGGAAACCCCCAAGAAAAUAACAUAAAUAUAUAUAAUAGAAGAAGCAACAAGGGAAUUAAAAUUUUCCACAAGAAUGCAGGCAUACCUCAUUUCAUUGUGCUUUUUUAUAUUGUUUUUUAUAAGACAGUCCUUCAGCAAAAAGACUGUGAUUCACAAAGGCUCACACGAUGGUUAUUUUUUAAUUAAGGUAUGUACAUUGUUUUUUAGACGUACUGCUAUUGCACGCUUAACAGACUACAGUAUACUGUAAACAUAACUUACGUAUGCAAUGAAAAACCAAAACAUCCCUGGGACCUGCUUUAUUGAGGCAUUCGUUGUAUUGCAGUGGUCUGGAACCAAACCUGCAAUAUCUCCAAGUCCGUACAACCACCAACCCGUUUUUCCGUUCAUUCAACCAUCUUAAAGAAGUGCAGAGAGAGAUGCUUGAAAGAAUGCUCACCACGAUGGGAGGCAACUGGGAGACUUGGUUGGUGCUUUCUGCUUUUCUCUAUUGCCUGAAGUUCAUACGCAUAUGUCAGC
ensembl:lncRNA